rnacentral:rRNA from 1 species
AGAGUUUGAUCAUGGCUCAGGAUGAACGCUGGCGGCGUGCCUAAUACAUGCAAGUCGAACGCGAAAGGCUUGAAGCCUUCGGGCGGAGGGCCGAGUAGAGUGGCGAACGGGUGAGGAACACGUAGGUGACCUGCCCCGGAGAGGGGGAUAACCGUCGGAAACGGCGGCUAAUACCCCAUAAGCUCACGCGAGUUAGAGGGCGUGUGAGAAAAGCUCCGGCGCUCCGGGAGGGGCCUGCGGCCCAUCAGCUAGUUGGUAGGGUAAAGGCCUACCAAGGCGAAGACGGGUAGGGGGCCUGAGAGGGUGGUCCCCCACAUGGGAACUGAGACACGGUCCCAACUCCUACGGGAGGCAGCAGUAAGGAAUAUUGCACAAUGGGCGCAAGCCUGAUGCAGCAACGCCGCGUGCCCGAGGACGGCCUUCGGGUUGUAAAGGGCUUUUCUGGCUGACGAGGAAGGACGGUAGGCCAGGAAUAAGCGUCGGCUAACUACGUGCCAGCAGCCGCGGUAAU